CUUGGCUUAUUAUCUCAGAAGUUCAUUGGACAUUGAUGAAAACCACGCACGCCGGUUAAUGCAUCAGUUGAUCCAAGCUGUCAAGUUCUGCGCUGAGCGUGGAGUUUUCCAUGGAGAUAUCCACUCGGGGAACAUCCUGGUGACUCAACCCCAAUCAGAGCUCAAACUGAUUGACUUUGGUUGUGCUCGGCUAAUCACCAGCGAGCCUUUCAACAGCAGUGAUUAUCGAGGUGAGUGGGCAUUUUGUGGGAGUUUCUUUGGUCACAGUAUUGUCUUAUGAAAUGACUGAAUUCUGAAAAUGUCUCUCUUACAGGAGCCUUACUUUACACGCCGCCUGAGGUUCUGAGGGAUCCCACAUUCUUUCCUAACCCGGCAUACGUCUGGACAUUAGGCCUCAUCCUGUAUGAAAUAUUACAUACACGAUUGGCCUUUUACGACACGCAUUCGAUAAUCAUUGGAGACCUCCAGACAGACCUCACCUUAUCUUUAGAUUGCCUGGACCUGAUUUCCCAAUGUUUGGUCCGCAAUCCAGAGAAGCGACUGCAGUUACAUCAGUUAGAAGAGCACCGGUGGUUCAAUCCAACGAGCCCAAAUCCUGUGCAGCAGUGAGACAAGAGGAGAAAACACUAAAGAAGCGAAGAGGAGAACAGCAGCAUUUCCAGAAAUUUCACAAGACUGUUAAAGUUAUUAAUUACUCCCUCAUGUCAUUCCAAACCCCUCAGACCUUACUUUUCAGUUUCAGUCCAGUGCUGUCACAGUUUUCUCCUC